rnacentral:rRNA from 1 species
AAUCAACGCUGGCGGCGUGCCUCAGACAUGCAAGUCGAACGAUUAAAGCUCUCUUCGGAGAGUGUAUAGAGUGGCGCACGGGUGAGUAACACGUAAGUAAUCUACCUUCGAGUGGGGAAUAACGUCCGGAAACGGACGCUAAUACCGCAUAAUGCAGCGGCAUCGCAAGAUGACAGUUGUUAAAGAUUUAUCGCUUGAAGAGGAGCUUGCGGCAGAUUAGCUAGUUGGUAAGGUAACGGCUUACCAAGGCUACGAUCUGUAUCCGGUCUAAGAGGACGGUCGGACACACUGACACUGAAUAACGGGUCAGACUCCUACGGGAGGCAGC